ensembl:lncRNA
AUGUCAAGAAGAAGAAAAGAGUUUCCUGCCUUUUCUGGAGCAGAACUGCGUUCUGGACUCAGGAAGACUGGCUCCACAGUCCAAGUUUUAGAUGCUUCCUACCUUCAAACAUCUUCGGACUUCCAAGUUCUUCAGCUUUGGGACUCAUACUGGCUUCCUUGCUCCUCAGCUUGCAGAUGGCCUACUGUGGGACCUCACAUUGUGAUCGUUUCUUAUAAAAUCAACAGACAUGAUAGAGGAAGAUGGCGCUAUAGAAGCAACUCACGAUUGCAGCUCUCAGUGAAAGCGCAGAGGAUUGACUUCCAAUUUCCAAUAGCUGACAAAUGGAAAUUACCAGAGAGAAAGAAAUGGAGGAAACUCUAAAAGAAAUAAUUUCCAGACUGAAGAAAGAUAUGCUUUUCUUGUGGCUUGGUUUUCUCUUCUGUGAAAUGGAAAUAAUGAUAGUAUCUAGCAUAGGGUGCGGAAAGUAUUACCUGAGUAGAGCCCUCAGAAUAGCCCGGCCUUGUGAAAAAACUCCAUAAAAGCUAUUAACAUUAAUCAAUAUUAUAAUUACUAUUGGAAGGUGCCAAAGGCUCAAAAAUGUUGAGUAAAAAAUGCACCAAACCCCAGACCAAUCAUAGAAAAAUCUUACAGCACCAAGAAUAAAGAGAAAGAUCAUAAAACCUUUCAGAAAGAGCAAGAAAGAAAACAGAAACAGAGAAACAGAGUCUGUAUAAAAUAACAAGCAUGAACAAUACAGAGUACAAGAAUACAAGGAGCCAUGUACUCCAAGCUCUAAAGGAAAGUAACUUAUUUUGUUUUUUUUUUAACAGGUAUAGAAAUUCAAAGUUGAAAAUAACUUUUCUUUGGAAAUGUGAAGAUAUUUUUAAUUGAUUUCUAGCUUCUGGUAUUUGUAACCCUCUGGGCCAGGGAGGGUUCUGGGACCCCUAUUUGCAUUUAUUAUAUGUGCCAGUUAUCUCCCCGUUUGCUCUCAGAUUUUUUUUUUUUUUAUGAAAAAAAGAGAAAGAGAAAGAGAAAGGGGGAGAGAGAAUAGGAAUCUUGCUCUAUUUCCCAGGCUGGAAUGCAAUCCAAAAAUAGGUAUUAAAAACCUCUUUUAUGCCAAUCAUUGUAGUUAUCAGUGGAGACAGGAAGGAAUAAGGGAAGAAAAUAACAAACGAACAGCCAAUCAAUAUUUCAUUUAAAUCUGUGAAAUGCUAUGCAAAUGCUGAAGAGUGAUUUACUUCCAAUUAUGUGGUCACUUUCAAAAUAGGCGUAAUGUGAUACUGAGAAAAAUGUAUGUUCUGUGGACCUGGGGUGAAGAAUUCUAUAGAUAUUCACUGAAUUUACUUGUUGCAGGUCUGAGAUCAAAUCAUAGAUGUCCCUGUUAAUUUUCUAUCUCGUUGAUCCGUCGAAUAUUAACAAUGUGGUGUCAGAGUCUCCUGGUAUUAUUGUGCGGGAGUCCAAGUCUCUUUAUAAGUCAUUGAGAACUUGUCUUAUGUAUCUGGGUGUUCCUGUAUUGGGUGCAUAUAUAUUUAUGAUCAUUGACUCCUACUGUUGUAUUGAUCCUUUUACCGUUAUAAAAUGUCCUUCUUUGUUUCUUUUAGUCUUUGU